ensembl:lncRNA
CCCAUUAUUGCCACUUUUAUUUAGCAUAAUAUUGGAAGUCCCAGUCAGAGAAACUGGGCAAGGAAAAAAAAAAAAGGAACCCAAAUUGGAAAAAAAUUAAAACUUACUACUUGCAGAUGAUAUAUUAUAUAUAGAAAACAGUAAAAAUUGCCACCAAAAAAUGUUAGAAUAAAUGAAUUCAGUAAGUUUGUAGGAUAUAAAAUAAACAUAUAAAAAUCUGUGGCAUUUUUAUUCACUAACAAUAAACUAUUAGAAAAAGAAAUCAAGAAAACAAUCCCAUUUACAUCAAAAAGAAUACCUAAGAAUCAAUUUAACCAAGAGGUGAAAGAUCAGUACACUGAAAACUAUAUAAUCCUGAUGAAAGAAAUUGAAGAAGACACAAAUAAAUGGAAAGAUAUUCAAUGUCCACAGAUUGGAAAAAUUAAUGCUGUUGAAAUGUCCAUAUCACCCAAAGCAAUCUACAGACUUCCAUUAAAAUUCCAAUGGCAUUUUUCAUAGAAAUAACCUUAAAAUUUAAUGGUAUCACAAAAGACCCCAAGUAAGUCAAAGCAAUCCUGAGACAGAACUACAAAGUGGGAGGCAUACACUCUCUCUUACUUCAAAUUAUACUACAAAUCUAUAAAAAUCAGAAUAGUAUGUUACUGGCAUUAAAAAAAAAAGUGGAUACAUAGAUCAAUGGAACAGAACAGACAGCCCAGAAACAAACCCAUGCAUAUAGAGUCAAUUAAUUUAUAACAAAGAUACAGGCUAAAAAGAAGGCAAAUACAAUUACAUUGCAAUGAGUUUCUAAUUUAACUCUGCUUCCUAUCUAAAUGGAAUUAAAAGGCUAUUGUUUUGCCUACAUUCACAACAACUCAUUUAAUUGCCAUACCAAUCUAACCUUCUGAAACACACACCCUGGCAGUCCCUAAUCCUGGCUCAUCCAAAGCAUCACUCCGGCUCCCCUGCAACCACACAUCAAUGUGAAAUCCUGAGUAGAGCUGAGGAGAGAGAUUUUGGCAUCAUCAAUGUGUAGGUAGAUGGUGGAUGAAGUCCAUAGUCUUCCAGAGGUUACUCCAGCAGAAGACAGUGAGACCAGAGGAAGGAAGAAGCCACGGAGAUCAACAACACCCACGGGAAUGGGCAGAGAAGUAGAAGGACCACGAGAGAUGGGUCACCAGAUUCAAAGGAGGAGGAGGCUGGGAGCAGAAACUCAUGGUCAACAGCAUCUAACAUAGGAUCAGUAGUGGUGAGUCACUAGGAUGUGACAUUUAGGAGGCGGCUCAGACUGUAAAGCAUCUGUGUGCAAUGCGGGAGACCUGGGUUUGAUUCCUGGGUUGGGAAGAUCCCCUGGAGAAGGAAAUGGCAACCCACUCCAGCACUCUUGCCUGGAAAAUCCCAUGGACAGAGGAGCCUGAUAGGCUACAGUCCAUGGGGUCACAAAGAGUCGGACACGACUGAGCGACUUCACUUUUCUGGUAUUUUUAGAAAACCAUCUCCAUAGAGUUGGGUGGUGAAAGUGAUGGUGACACAAGAAUAAAACCGAACGAUGGGGCAAAUAAGUGCAGGCAGUUCUUUUAAGGUAAUUGACUGGGAAGCAAAUGAGGCAAGGAGAGGAGUCUGAAAGAAAGGCAGGGGGAUGCAAGGCUGGGAGAGAGGGAGAUUGAGGUUCAAGCUGCAAGAAGCAGAGGAGGGAAGAUUCUAGGGCUGUGAUAGAUGGGAACCAGAACCAGGCAUGAAGGCAAACCCACAUGGGAGGAAAAACCCUUUGUAAAAGGAAAUGCAGACCAGGGCCCAUGCCACCUCUUCCACAGAGUACCCCCGCCCCAUGCAGACCCAGCUCACUGAAUGCCAGUCCCAUUCCUCACCAGGCCUGGUGCAGAGCUAUUAUUUCUAGUGAACAAGGAUAAAAGGCUAUGCCUUGCAUGGCUCAAAAGUGGAUUCUUGUGUGGGGGCUUGAGAGACGUGCCCGUUCCCACUGUGUGUGGCCAGCGGGGGCUCUGCCCAGGGAUGGCUGGCACUCUCUCGCUCUCUCUGAUUCUGUCUUGGCCUCUCUCCUUCCCACUUCACCCCCAUCCUCAGGUGUCUUGUGUGUUUCUCUUCCCAAGGACAGAGACCCUGGGAGUUCUGCAAUGUGCAGGGGCAAUCCGGAGCCCUUCGUGAGAACUCAGGCAGAGCCUUUCUUCCUCCCUGUGGAAACGUGAGUAGUGCUCAGCCAGGCAGUGGGAAGGGCUGGCUCAUCUUCCUCCUUCUCCACCCCACCCCUGCCCACUGAUUGGCAUUUUUCUGGAAGCACUGAUGGUGCCUCAGUCCAUGCUGUGCCCAGCUGUGAAGUGGGGACCCCUCCCAUGAAGAAGCCUGCAGCCACCAGCUCUGUAGGAGAUGGGAGAAAUGGUGCUCCUGGAAGAGAGAUGUGGCAGCGGUGGGGUGGGAGUGGGGGGUCACAGGGAUCUAAUCUGAAGGCUGCUGCUGCCCCCACUCCCCUCCCCAUCAAGACUGAUGGACCCAACUGAGUAGCCCAGCCCAGCCAGUGGAAGAAGGGCAGCCUCCUCUGUGGGCUUCACUUCCUGCAGGCGACUCUUGGCCCCAGGCCUCUUCCUGAGAACUCAGCCUCUGCCUCAUUCCAAUGGCAGCCUCACCCCGUGUCCCAGCUUGAGUCUUAGGGUAACCACCUCCCUAGGGAUCAAGCUCCCUCACCUUCGCUGUCCCCCCGUGUUGACGCGUGCACUGCUCCCAGGCACCACCCUCUUUCGUGAGCCCCGACUCAGCUCCAAAUCACAAAAGGCAGUGGCCUCCUGUGUUUGCCCUGCCCCGCAACUGCCAGGACACCCAGAGAGAACCUCUGGACGCUAACUGCUCACUCGAGUCCACCACCCUGGCCUCACUGGCCAGAUGUUCUCAUUCAGCAUUGGCCUCAGUUUCCCCCUCUGUCAAAUGGGCACCCUGACAACACCACUUUACAGGGGGUGGGAGGCUUUCAUGAGAUGGAGAUAGAGCGUGCCUCUGAUGCCCUGCUGCUGAUCAUUACGGCCCACGUCUCACUCUGGUCUUUGAAAGGACCACUGAGAGCCUGUAUUCCUAACCCGCAGCCUCUGCCUUAACUCUGGUGCACACAGCAUAUUCUCCAAGAGGGUGCCCAGCUGGAAAACAGGCAGACGAGCACAGAUUUCAGUCCAGACAGACCCAAAGUUGAAUCUAGAAUCCAGUCCAAUCUGUGUGAUGGGACUGAAGUCUUUAGCCCCUGAGAGCUUCAGCUUGUUCAUCCAUGGAGCCUCCCUAUUGGAUCAUGUGAGAUAAUGAAGUGAGGUGAUACUGGAACACACCUGGUAUCUGUGGGUGCCGACGUGUGCACCACUGGCGUCCUCUCUUCAGAAGAAGCAGACAGGCCACCCAAGCUUUGAUCAGACCUCCUUGGGAUUCCCCUGAAAAGCACUGGAGCCUUUCCCUGGAGGGAACUCACCUCCUCCGCAGGCCCAGUGACGCGUUUGAUGUAAUCAACAACUGCCUGAGUCUGUUCUCUGAAUCCCGACACGCAGACUUGCAUCCAACCAGCCUGUGUAUGUUCCUCCAGAUUAAACGAGAGC